AAUACGUUCCCGGACCUUGCACACACCCGCCCCGUCAAGCCAUGGAAGCUGGGUGUACCUAAAGUCGGUAACCGCAAGGAGCUGCCUAGGGUAAAACUAGUAACUGGGGCU
rnacentral:rRNA from 1 species